UCGAGGAUCUUCGGCAAUGGGCGCAAGCCUGACCGAGCGACGCCGCGUGCGCGACGAAGGCCUUCGGGUUGUAAAGCGCUGUCGGGGGGGAGGAAAGCCCAAAAGGCCUGACCGACCCCCGGAGGAAGCACGGGCUAAGUUCGUGCCAGCAGCCGCGGUAAGACGAACCGUGCGAACGUUGUUCGGAUUCACUGGGCUUAAAGGGCGCGUAGGCGGGCGUGUGCGUCAGGGGUGAAAGCCCCCGGCUCAACCGGGGAAGGGCCUCUGAUACCACACGCCUCGAGGGAGGCAGGGGCAGUUGGAACUUCCGGUGGAGCGGUGAAAUGCGUAGAUAUCGGAAGGAACGCCGGUGGCGAAAGCGAACUGCUGGGCCUCAUCUGACGCUGAGGCGCGAAAGCCAGGGGAGCGAACGG
rnacentral:rRNA from 1 species